GUGUGGACAUCCUUGUUUUGUUCCAGUUCUUAGAGGAAAUGUUUUCAACUUUUUUCCACUCUUUCUGGAGGCUGGGAAGUCCAAGAUCAAGGUGCUGGCAGGUUCCAUGUCUGCCACACCUACCUUCCUCCUGCCCCAUCCAUCCUUUAACCACUGGCAACCAUGAAUCUGUCCUCCAUUUCUAGAAUUUUGUUAUUUCAGGAAUGUCACAUUAAAGGGAUCAUAUGAUGGAGUUUUGCUCUUUUGCCCAGGCUGGAGUGCAAUGGCAUGAUCUUGGCUCACCGCAACCUCUGCCUCCCGGGUAGCUGUGAUUACGGGUAUGUGCCACCACACCUGGCUAAUUUUGUAUUUGUAGUAGAGACGGGGUUUCUUCAUAUUGGUCAGACUGGUCUCAAACUCCCG
rnacentral:lncRNA from 1 species